rnacentral:rRNA from 1 species
AAUGAACGCUGGCGGCAUGCCUAAAACAUGCAAGUCGAACGCCCUAGCAAUAGGGAGUGGCGCACGGGUGAGUAACAUGUGGGAAUAUGCCUUUUGGUACGGAACAACGUUUGGAAACGAACGCUAAUACCGUAUGGUCCCUCCGUGGUAAAUAUUGAUCGCCAAAAGAUUAGCCCGCACUAGAUUAGCUAGUUGGUAAGGUAAUGGCUUACCGAGGCGACGAUCUAUAGCUGUACUGAGAGGAAGAUCAGCCACACUGGAACUGAGACACGGCCCAGACUCCUACGGGAGGCAGCAGUUAGGAAUAUUGGACAAUGGGCGCAAGUCUGAUCCAGCCAUGCCGCGUGCGGGAAGAAGGCCUUCGGGUUGUAAACCGCUUUUGUCAGGGAAGAAAUCUUCUGAGUUAAUACCUCGGGAGGAUGACGGUACCUGAAGAAUAAGCACCGGCUAACUACGUGCCAGCAGCCGCGGUAACAC